rnacentral:misc_RNA from 1 species
GAAAGGGAUGACUAUAAUAUUAAGGUGAUUGGCUGUACGGAACCUUUCUUUCAAAAAAAUUUGUUAAAUGACAUUCAGUUUCCGAUACGUGUGAAUGCUCGUAGCUUUAAGGUCUUAAUUUGUGGGUUGUCUGGCGUGGUGUUAAUAUUCAUUUUUCUUUUUCCCUUAUAUAUAUAUAUAUAUCAUGGGCUUAAAAAUUUGAAUUUCAGUACAUGCACAAGCUCUCAAACAAAGAUUUUAUAUGUUAAAUUACAGUUUGCAUAUGUUUUAGUAAUUUUUGUAAAAUUCAUGAUACACAUUAAUGUGUUCCGUGAUUGGUUGUGCACUCUAUUAUUGGAGGAAAUUAGUAUCUUUAUAUGGAUUGGCUCGUUUUCUUUGAAAGGCUAGUGGUGCGUUGUGGUGUAUCUAUGAUAUUAAAUCCUUGGAGAGGCAUGUAGGUUGUUCAUUGGCAAAUAUGUAGCUAAUGCUAUUAUAUCAACUAUUUUAGAUUGUUAUAACCUAAGAAAUUAAUGCAGCGUGAAGCUCGCAAAGAAAUACACUCUGUACACGGUAAAAAUUGGGAGAAUUCUCUGCAGAACUUUUAUUGCUGAAAAUCUGUAUCUGAAAUGCAUAAAAAUCUGGGGUAUUUGUAGAGUUGUUGAUCUCCUAAACACAAUAGGAAAAGAUCUCUA